rnacentral:rRNA from 1 species
GAUGAACGCUAGCGGCAGGCUUAACACAUGCAAGUCGAGGGGCAGCGAGAGGGUAGCAAUACUUUUGUCGGCGACCGGCGGACGGGUGCGUAACGCGUAUGCAACCUACCUUAUACAGGGGGAUAACCUUUCGAGAGGGAGACUAAUACCGCAUAACAUUACUUUGAGGCAUCUUGAGGUAAUUAAAUCUUCGGAGGUAUAAGAUGGGCAUGCGUAGCAUUAGCUAGAUGGUGCGGUAACGGCGUACCAUGGCGACGAUGCUUAGGGUUCUGAGAGGAAGGUCCCCCACACUGGUACUGAGAUACGGACCAGACUCCUACGGGAGGCAGCAGUGAGGAAUAUUGGUCAAUGGUCGGAAGACUGAACCAGCCAUGCCGCGUGCAGGAAGAAUGUCUUAUGGAUUGUAAACUGCUUUGUAUGGGGCUAAUAAUAACUUUGCGAAGUUAGAUGCAGGUACCAUACGAAUAAGGAUCGGCUAACUCCGUGCCAG